UUGACAACAAACCAAAACGAAGAUAUGUUGAGGCAAAAAAGAAGGCGCAGUUGGAAAAUGAAGUGAUUAGUACGAAGUAGCAGCGCAGGCACAUUUGGAAAAUUAUGCCGAUAAGCAAGAUAAAAUUUGGGAAAAAAUGUUAUUAAUCGAGUGGCGUUAGUUAAGAUGUGCUCCAAACAUUUGGCGAACUUUUUUCGCCUUCUCAACGUGCUAAGUUACAAGUUAAGAUGACUGCCACCACGGAUGGUAGGAAGCCCGAAGCAAAGGGCAAACAACCUUCCAGGAAGCUGCCUGCUGUAUCCGAGUCGUAGCUGAGGUUCAGCAAGAAGUAGGUCAGCAAACGUGCUACCCUGAUCAAGCUAAACUAAAGCGCUCUGCUGUGAUUGCCCUCCGCAAACGUGAAAACUUGUUGCAUCUGAGAAAUAUCAAGCAAAAUAUCUCCGAGAUGGGCGCCGUGAGAAUAAGUUGCGCCGCCAAGCAAAGAAACAUGGCUCAUUCUAAGUGCCUGCGGAAGACAAAUUGGCUUUUGUGAUCUGUAUCCGCGGUAUCAACAAAGUUGCACCAAAUGUGCGACAGUUGGUUUAAAGAAA